UCCCUGGUGGUCCAGUGGUUAGGACUUGUGCUUUCACUGCCGAAGGUCCAGGUUCAAUUCCUGGUUGGGGAA